AGUUAAACAGUACGUGAAAUUGUUGAAAGGGAAACGAUUGAAGCCAGUCGUACCUUCGGGUAAUCAGCCUUUCGGGUGCGAUUCUGUGGGGUUUGAGGAGCUUUAACACCUUCAUGCUUUGCAUAUUCGUGCUCUUGGGUGUACUUGCCCGUGUGGUUGGUUAACAUCAAUUUCGGGCACCAUAAAAUGGCUGGAGGAAUGUAGCUUCGAUCUUGUAUUGAAGUGUUAUAGCCUUCGGUAGAUGUGGUGAUCGAGAUUGAGGAUUGCAACGGAUACCUUUCGGGGCUACCUGUCUGAUCUCUGAUCGUUGUUUUGGUGCUGAAAGCGUGCUUAUAGUUAUCAAAGUCGAUGGUCAAUAGGUUAGAAUGGGUUAAAUUCGUUAAGGAUGUUGACGUAAUGGCUUUAAA
rnacentral:misc_RNA from 1 species